rnacentral:rRNA from 1 species
AACGCGAAGAACCUUACCUAGGCUUGAAACGCAAAUUAAAGCGAAUGAAAGUUCGUGUCCCGCAAGGGGAAUUUGUACAGGUGCUGCAUGGCUGUCGUCAGCUCGUGCCGUGAGGUGUUGGGUUAAGUCCCGCAACGAGCGCAACCCUUGUCUUUAGUUGCCACCGGGUGAUGCCGAGCACUCUAAAGAGACUGCCUACGCAAGUAGUGAGGAAGGUGGGGAUGACGUCAAGUCCGCAUGGCCCUUACGCCUAGGGCCACACACGUGCUACAAUGGCCACUACAAAGGGCUGCAAAACCGCGAGGUCGAGCCAAUCCCUAAAAAGUGGUCUCAGUUCGGAUCGGAGUCUGAAACUCGACUCCGUGAAGCUGGAAUUGCUAGUAAUCGUGGAUCAGCACGCCACGGUGAAUACGUUCCCGGGCCUUGUACACACCGCUCGUC